AUUUCUAAAGGUUUUCUAAAUUCUCCCACAGCCCGAUCUUCAUCCCCCCAUCUCUUUAUCAUCCCACAAACAAGAUGGCGGACAUGCCGUUUUUGACAAAUUCUCAAACGACGGCCAUCCCGGCGUCCCGACACCGCUUGUCAGCGUCGGCGCAAGAAGCCAAUUUGUCUUGAACGCCAUCCAGCUCGACGCGACCGGCAUGGUCCACCAGUGUUUGACCCGCGAUGGCGAAAGAAGACGACGCGGGCGGUUUGGACGAGACUGCAAGUUGAACUGCCGAACAUAAAAUGACUCACAUGAAGCUCCGUGAGGGAAAUGUGUCAAACGCUCCCAUUCCACGUGUGGGCCAAGUGUCGCUCCGGGACGGCAACGGUUCACAUGUUGCCUGCUGAUGGAUGCCACACGAGAAGCGGGCGAGUACCUACAAAGCCGUUUGUGAACACCCUUUUACAUCUAAGGUGCCUGGUGACAAUCAAAAACACCCAUAAACAUGGAAAAGCUUCGAGGCGGGGUCACAGGAAGGAGGUAAGGAAGUGAGCGACCCGUCGGACUCCUCGCAGACUUUCCUGAGGUGGAACUUUCUUCACUUUUGUUUCCCCGCCUUCAGAAAAGAAAAGACAAAUGAGUUCCAAAAGACGUACAGCAUGAGCUAAAGUGUUUUCAUAGCGGUCAGCGCAUAUGCUUCACCCUCCUUGAGCGUUUAGCUCAUGCUUGGAUUGCCUCAUUGAAGCCCGAAGUCAUAAUUGUUCGGAUGGAAUCUUUUACAUGAUAUCGAUUGUUUUGAACAGUAAAAAUCACAUUAAUAUAAACUCCAAUUAUAAUGCACGGAAGAAAAAAAGACCCACGGAACUCUGUGGU